rnacentral:rRNA from 2 species
UACAGAGGUCCCGAGCGUUGUUCGGAUUCACUGGGCGUAAAGGGUGCGUAGGUGGUGAGGUAAGUCGGAUGUGAAAGCUCCAAGCUCAACUUGGAAAUGGCAUUGGAAACUACCUUGCUAGAGGGUUUGAGGGGGGACUGGAAUACUUGGUGUAGCAGUGAAAUGCGUAGAUAUCAAGUGGAACACCAGUGGCGAAGGCGAGUCCCUGGAAAACUCCUGACACUGAGGCACGAAAGCUAGGGGAGCAAACAGG